AGACCAUGGUGAGUGCAUAUUUGUAUGACUGACUUAAAACGCUCCUAAUCUUCAUGAAAACUCUCUUCUUCCAAUUCUUUAAACUUUGCAAUCUCCUUCAUUAGUUG